AAGGAUUUCAAGUUCCAGGUCAGUCUGGGCAAUUUAGCAAGUCGUAUUUAAAAAAAAAAAAAAAUAUAUAUAUAUAUAUAUAUAUAUAUAUAUACACACACACACACACACACAUACAUAUACACACAAAUAAAUGUGUAAAUAUUUAUUUACUUAUUUAUUUAAAGGAUUGGGGUACAGCUCAGUGUUAGAGAGCCCCUGGGUUCAGUCCCUAGUCCAAUACACACACACACAAGAGAAAGUGGUUGCUGUCCUCAGAUUAUUUUUCUUCUGUAGGACAAAAGCAUCAGACAUCUUUAUAUCAGCCAGGCUUGGUGGCACAUGCCUGUAAUCCCAGCAGCUUGGUAGGCUGAGGCAGGAGAAUUGCAAUUUCAAAGCCAGCCUCAGCAACUUAGUGAAGCCCUAAGUAAUUUAGCAAGAUUUUGUCUCAAAAUAAAACAUGAAAAGGGCUGGGGAUGUGGCUCAGUGGUUAAGCACCCCUGGGUUCAAUUUUGCCAGUGCAAAAAAAUAUAUAUAUAUCUUUCUACCCAGUGAUGGGGUGGGUGUGGCUAUUUGAUCAGGUGGUCUUGGAUCAUUUUCUUUACCUUCAUUGGACAGAGAUGGGGCAGGCAGGGCAGUGGGCCUCCCUCUUUGCUGUGACCUCUUGGGGCAGACUGGGGCCACUUCCCUGACAGAAUCCUGAUGACAGAGAGAUGCAGGUCCCACCUUGUCAGCCCUGUUGGGGAGGAGGAUAUCUACCAUGGGUGGCAGCAGGGAGGACUCUGUCACAUGGCAGGGUCUGGAAUCCUUGUCCUUAUGCUGGAGGAGCUAGCAGGGUACCUGCAGAACCCAGCGUGGUUGUCUUGAGUAGGGAUGAUGGACCUGAGAGGGUGACAGCAGGACUGGGGAGUCUGGGCAGGGUGUUGGGCUGGUUUACGUCAGCCCUGGCCCUAGCAGUCUGCAGUGGUGGCCAACUUUGGAGCAGGCUGCUCACAGCAGAGUUCUGUUGGGAAACCUCUUGACCUACGGAGAGCACACCAGUCCAGGGCUAAGGGCCCUACUGGUUCUGCCCCUAGGAAACUCAGACCAAGCUCACAGGGGCUAACUCUACCAGGUCAGACCUGUCAGAAGGGACCUGGCCAGCCUAGCGGCAUCUGGCGUCGCAGUCCCCUUCAAGGCAAAAGGGGUGUUUGUUGAGACCCUUGGCUAGGGGGAAAUGGGGUUAGUGUCUAGGUUGCCGAGAGGCCUGGCUGUGUGGAGAAUAGGAUUCUGGGCAGUGUGUGACUGUUCCUUCUGAGGAACAGAGCAGUGGGUGACCAUGGCUUGCGAGGAAAGGGGCCAAGAUGGGCACUCCAGCAAGGUUGUACCUCUCAGCUUACAGCCUAAGCUGUUUGCCUGUUGGUCCCUGUAGACCUCCAGCCAGGUCGGUCACCUGUGCCUGUAACCAUACAGCCCAGGUUCCCAGGGUGGUUGGAGUGUUGGCUGGCCCGGUCAGGGAGCCUGGCAAGGAGCAGGAGCAUUUGGUAGAGUGAGGGGCUGGGGAGCUCAUCACUGGCCAAGAUCAAGGAGGCAGGGCGUGAAGCAGGGACUCAGGGCAGACUUUGCCCACACAGCACACAGGGAUGGCUGCCUGUGGGCAGUGCUCCUGACUCUGCUCCCAGCGGUGUGCCUGGGCAUCCUGCAGAGGGUGGGUAGGGAGCCUGAGGUGCCCUUCAUCCUGCCUUUCCUAAGUGUGAGAGCUGAGCAGCCCCCCAAGGAUCAUUGCCCUGCACUGUGUUCCACAGGUAGAAGGUGGGCCCCACACAAGGCAGGACCCCAGGGUGGCCGGGAGUGGUCUCACCAGAGCCUCUCUGCCCCACCCUCUGAGCUGGCCUUGAUGUGCUUCCUUAUUUGCUCUUCAGGUGUAUGUGGCUGCCAAAAGGGGAGGCUCCCCUGAAGACACACUGACAGGCGCCUUGUGUCCUCUGUACCCUGGCUGCCUAGGGCUGACCUUAUGUGGCCCACCUCAUUGGUCCUGCUGUGCCGACUGGAGCACCAUCAGGAGGGUGCAGGCAGGGCCAGGCCAUGACUGCUCCUUGACCCCAGCCAGGCUCCUGAGGCCUAGAAAGAGCAGAAGCUCCAAGGGGCUCUCAGGGCCCACUGUGGAUUGGCCCUGCCCUCCCUCUCCCUUGGCAAGGUACCAGGAAGCUAGAGCUUUGUUAUCUGGGUAAUUAGCUUCAGACCCUGGACUGAGUCCAGCCAGGUCUUAGGGCUACGUCCCACAAUAGGUGUACCCUGAUCUCAAAAGGGAAGUGAGGUGCUGCCUGUCUAGAGACCCUGCUAUCUGAGCAACCAAGGGGCCAGGCCUGCGUGGGACCAGCUGUGGUAUCCUUACACGCCCUUCCUUCUUGGGCUGUGCCCCUCAGGGCUGCCUGGGCCUGAUCACAGCCUCGCCAGGGGCCAAGGGCACAAGCCUCAGGAAGGGAAUGCCCUCAGAGGUGUCAGUCCAGCCAGCUGCUCUGCCACUCAAGCCUGGUCUGACCCCCAUCCCCUGCACUGUGGUACCCCAAGCAGCCCUGUGGGUAGACACCCCCGACCAUGGCUGAGCACCUGGAACUACUGGCAGAGAUGCCCAUGGUGGGCAAGAUGAGCACCCAGGAGCGGCUGAAGCAUGCCCAGAAGCGGCGUGCCCAGCAGGUGAAGAUCUGGGCCCAGGCUGAGAAGGAGGCCCAGGCCAAAAAAGGCAAGUGGAGGCAGCUGCAGAAGGAGGCAGCUGGCCGAGGGCCCCCGAAGCAAGUUGUCUUCCCUCCCAGCGUUGUCCUUCUGGAAGCUGCUGCCCGAAAUGACCUGGAAGAAGGUGAGUGCACUUGUCCCAGGGUGGUACACAAUGGCACUCCCAUCCAUGUGGGCGUGGCCUCAUCGUGUGUUGGGCUCUGGGCUGGGCCUGUGCCCGUCCAGCACUCUUGGGCUUUAGCCACAGGGCAACCAGGGUCUCUGGUUAGGACAACCCCCACUGAGACAGCUCUUCUUCAGCAGAGGCCUCAUGCAAAAGGUCCUGCUGUGAGGCAGGCCAGUUGAGAGAGUACCAGGCUGCAGGGGGCGCCCAUCAGGGCCUGCAGAAGCAUCCAGUGUGUGGGGCUGAGCAGGCUGACAACUCUCACCGCCUCUUGUAAGGAUGCUAGGCUGUGGGUGAGCGCCCUGGCCUCUGCCAGCUGUUCCCUGAGUCCCACCUCUGCAGAGGAGGGUGCUCAUACUUACCUCCAGUUGCAAGAGUCGGGCAAGCUGACCCGGAGCCCACACGGCUGACCCUCUCGCCGCUGCCGUCAGUGUUCCCUUUGACUCCUUCCUUACCAUUGGAGCCUUCCCAGCCUGAUGCCAGCCUGACCUUUCUGCAAGCCCCUCUUCCUCUCCAUGCCUCGUAUUUGUGACCCUCUGAGUACAAGGCUCUGGAGUCUGGGGAGGAGACCUCUUGAUUUUUCUUAAGGGCUCUUCCUGUGUCUUUUGGGGGCAGAGGUGAGGAGGAGUGGGCAGUGACAGUGCAGGAGCCCUCCUGAGACCUGGAGGCUGAGAGGGGACCUGUGGAGAAGGGUGCCAUGUGUGCCACAGGCCUGACCACAAGGAGCCGUGUCUUACUGCUGCAUGGCCAGAGAGGACCCCAGGGACCUUGGCGAUAGCGUGGUCUGAGAUAGGAUUUCUGAAGGGGAGCAAGGGCAGGGACAGGCACUGGUUGAGGGGCUGGGCUCAACAUCAGGAAGAUCAGAGGAGUGUAAGCCCCUACGCUGGGAGCUGAGGGUGGAAUCACCGGCAAGCGGUCUCACAGGAGGGCCGGUUCUGCGGUCUUAGGGGUUGGGUGUCAUGAUAGGAGAGGGGCUGGUGCUGCUGUGUGUGCGGCCUAUUUGGGGCAGACAGACACCCCAGGCUCCUUGAGUCUGCAUGCUUCCUGCCAUCUACACCAGUCUUCUUCUCCCUUCCCUGAUCCCUGGGCAUCAGCAUCAUGGGCCCAGGUGGCCUUGGGCCAGGGAUGGCGUAGGCCAGUCAAGGCCUCACCCAGACGUCACCACCCCCUUCUUACAGUCCGCCAGCUCCUCAGGAGUGGAGUCAGCCCCGACCUGGCCAAUGAGGAUGGGCUGACAGCACUGCACCAGGUCAGCCUGUGUGCGGGGUGGGCAGGGCAGGGGCUGGCAGGGCUCAGGCCACUCAGGCUGUGUGUUUGCAGUGCUGCAUUGAUGAUUUCCGAGAGAUGGUGCAACAGCUCCUGGAGGCUGGGGCUGACGUCAAUGCCCGUGACAGCGAGUGCUGGACCCCCCUGCAUGCUGCAGCCACCUGUGGCCACCUGCACCUGGUGGAGCUUCUCAUUGCCCGGUAGUGUCCAUUGGGCCUUUAUCAUGGAGGGGCUUUCUCACAGAUGGCAGCUCAUGUGGCUAUUCUGUGAAGCUGGUCAGGUCCUGGCUUCCUGUGUCCUCACCUCUGUCCAUCCUGCUUGAGACCCCUGGGGGAUAGUUUGGGCCCACCUGGUAGGCUGGACCACCAGCUCUGGAUGGAGGGCCUUCUCAUGGUCUCCCCUGAGAAAUGCCAUUCUGGUUAGGGUUGAGGGUAGAACGAAUAAGGGGGUAAGGGGAGCAGAGAGGCCAGGUGGGUCUCGGAGGGUGUGCGUGGGUAUCGGUGAGGACUUUUCUCCAACAGGAAGGAAGGUGGAGUGGGGAGUGGUGGUAAGCCCUGUAACUCCAGCUACUUGGGAGGCUGCGACAGGAGGAUCUCAAGUUCAAGGCCAGCCUGGGCAACUUAGAUCUUAUCUCAAAGAUUAAAAAAAAAUGUUUUGGUGGUAUUGGGGAUUAAACUCAGGAUCUCAGGCUAGGCAGCCAUUCUACCACUAAGCUAUAUCCCCAGCCCUUUAAAGUAAAAAAAGAAAAAAUAAAAAAGUAACAAUUAAUGAAAGGACUGAGGAUGUAGCUCAGCUUUUGCCAAGGGUGGACGUGGCUUUGGGUUCAAUCCCUAGUUACACACACACACACACACAUAAAUAAAUAAAUAAAUAGGACUGGGGAUUUUACUUAGUGUUAAAGCACAUCUGGGCUCAGUCCCCAGUACUGGGGGAUGGGAGGAGGAUGGAGCAGAGGAGGUUAGUGGCUUCCUCAGGUUCAGGAGCCUGUCCUUCCUCCCCCCAUCCUGGGCCUCUCCAGUAGAUCAGAGAUCCUCGUGUGGGUGACUGGCUGUUGCCAUCACACAUAAGUGCCUCCUCUGAGUAGAGCAGUAGCCAUGCAGCAAACAGGCCCCCAGGCUCCCCUUGGAGCUGGUGACAGGCUGCAGGUGGGUUCCAAACCUUAGGCAGCCCCUCUGUGUCCUUUGCUCCCCCCAGCUCCCCUUCCCCCAGGCCUGCUUCCCCUGAUCUGUGGGCUCAAAAUCAGCAACUGCUUGGCUUUCUUGCUUCACUUCUCCCUGGGGUCCCCAGAGUGCUGCGUACCUCCUGCAGGUGUACCCUGUAUUUAUGGGGGACAGACGGGUGCCUUGGGCCUUGAAGCCCAGAUGGGUAGACUGCAGGAUGGCCUGUCUGCCUGAGGAACAAGAUCCAGAGCUGAGGGCCUUCCAGAUGAGCCCAGAGGCUUCCUCUCCCAACAGCAGCUAGAACCUACGAGUCCUCCCCAUGUCUGCUGGCACUUCCUGAAGGCAGUCCGAGGCUCAGGGAGGACUUGCUGAAAGGGGACUGAGCAGCCGGCAGCUCUCAUCCGUCCUCCCUGCAGGGGUGCUGAUCUCCUGGCAGUCAACACUGAUGGGAACAUGCCUUAUGACCUGUGUGAGGAUGAGCAGACACUGGACUGCCUGGAGACUGCCAUGGCCCACAGGGGUGAGUGUGCUGUGCCUGCCUGCUCGGGUGGGCCUGGGCAUUCCGUCUCUGAGCCUGCUGCUCCACAGGCAUCACCCAGGACAGCAUUGAGGAGGCCCGGGCCGUGCCAGAGCUGCUCAUGCUGAAGGACCUCCAGAGCCUUCUGCAUGUUGGGGCUGACCUCAAUGACCCGCUGGACCAUGGAGCCACACUGGUGAGGACUUGGCCACGUGGAGGGGGUCUGUUCAGGGGCUGGGGGCUUGUUGGGUGGGUGUGGGACUGGGAUUCAGGGCGGGGUGGCCUGCCUGCAGCUGCACAUGGCCGCCGCCAGUGGGUUCAGUGAGGCAGCUGCCCUGCUGCUGGAGCAUGGAGCCAGCCUGACUGCCAAGGACCUCGACGGCUGGGAGCCGCUGCACGCUGCCGCCUACUGGGGACAGGUGAGUGUGGUCAGGAGCAGAUGCUGAGCGGGCUCUUGGCUGCGGCUCAAGCCCUCAGCAGCCCCCACUGGCUGGCCUGCAGGUGCACCUGGUGGAGCUGCUUGUGGCAAACGGGGCCGACCUGAAUGGGAGAUCCCUGACGGAUGAGACACCCCUUGGUGAGCUCCAGGGCUGCCUCCACCUGGGGGAAGGGACAGGCAGGGAGGGCCCCUGUGACGCUUGUGGUCAUCUCUCAGAUGUCUGUGGUGAUGAGGAGGUGCGGGCCAGGCUGCUGCAGCUGAAGCAGAAGCAGGAGGCACUCUUGCGAGCCCAGGGCCGCCAGCGCUCCCUGCUGCGCCGCCGCGCCUCCAGUGCAGGCAGCCGCGGGUGAGCUGCCCCACAGUCCAUGCCCAGCCCCCACCCCGGCUGUGCCUCAGGAUGGAUGGGAUGUCAGCCUGCAGGUGGAGCUGCCAGCACAACUAGGCCGGGUCUGAGGGACAGCUGGUGUCCCCUCUCACCUCCACCACACCCCGGCCUUCCAGGAAAGUGGUGAGGCGAGUGAGCCUGACCCAGCGCACCGACCUGUACCGCCAGGAGCAUGCCCAGGAGGCCAUCGUGUGGCAGCAGCCACCACCCCCAAGUCCAGAGCCGCUGGAGGAGGAUGAGGACCACCAGACAGACGCAGAGCUCUGGCUGCCACCCCCAGAGGUGAGAGUCCUGGCCUUGUGCUACCCACCUUCCACGUGGCUUUGGCAUGGGUCCUAGGCUGUGACCUGGCAUCAGUAUGUGAGUUUCCCAUUCACACUGGUCCAGUGUGGAGCUGGGAGGACCAGUGACCUUGUGCCCCUAGGUGGGCCAUGCUCCUCAGGGCUGGGCUGUUGUCCCCCUGCCCCUCACGGUUGUUCUUCUACAACCAGGUAGCCUAGAUCCUGAGGCCAGGGCAAGUAAGAGGAGCUGCCUCCUGACAGCCUUGGGCCCUGAUUCUGCCCACAGGAAGAUGACCCUGAGGUGGCCAGGUCCCACAAUGGCCGAGUAGGGGGCCCCCCAGGGCGGCACCUAUACUCCAAGCGGCUGGACCGGAGUGUGUCGUACCAGCUGAGCCCUGUGGAGAGUACCACCCCAGACACCCUUGUCCGGGACAAGGCCCACCACACCUUGGCCGAACUCAAACGCCAGCGGGCUGCUGCCAAGCUCCUGCGACCACAGCCUGAGGGGCCUGAGGCCCCUGAAUCUGGCUUGUCUGCUGACCCCGUGUCCUCCCAGCCGGACUGCGGCUUCAGGGCAGGCGGGGACCCACCCCUGCUCAAGCUCACAGCCCCAUCUGAGGAGGCCCCGAUGGAGAAGAGGCCAUGCUGCUUGCUCAUGUGAGGGGCUGUACCCAUUUCCAGGCCAGCCCGAGGCUUGCCCUGGAGGCCCACUCAGGGUGUGCCCUGGAACUGCAGGUGGGCAGACACCAGAGUCUUCCCCAGCUUCUACCCCUCAGGACAGUGGACUCUCUGUUGGGGAUGGACUUUAGGCAGAGCCGUAUCUGCAGGCAUCUGCUGCAGAGUGUUUGUCCUGUGACGCUUGAUAAAGGGGUGUUUGUCGUCAAGCCUUCCAGUGUCUCCGCUGGGGAGGGGCAGGCGGUGCUGCUGGACAGGUGCCGCCCAUGCCCUCGAGCAAGCACUCAGGCCUGUAGGUGCGUGCUGGGGCUCGCAAGUAGAGGCCUGGCCCCUGUGUGGGAGGGAGGCCCAAGGGCCACUGGGCAAGAAGCCUGGCCUUCCCCACACCCUCCCUGCCAUAUUCGACUUCCUGGAAGCACUGUUAACUCUUUGUUUUCCUGAGGGCAGUAGGGUACUUCAGAAGGAAGCUCUUUUCGGGCCAGAGCUGAGGGGGACCAUACCAAGGGGCAGGAGUCCUGACCUGCCAAGGGAGGGCGUAUUUUUUCCAGGAUUCCUGGGCCAGAGCCAGUAGAGCAAAUCUGGCACGGCCGGCAUCAGGCACUUCCCAGGGGCAGUGGUUCCCCAAUUCGUGGCCUGUUGCCCUGAUCCUGGGCCCUGGCUGACAACUUGUGCCUGGGCUGGUGUAGGUGACAAGCACUUGGCCACUCAGGCGCCGAGCUGGCUGGGUACAAUGUGUAAGGAUGAAGGGGCCCUUAGGGGACUCAAGCUGGAGGGCUGAGGGCACUGCCAGAUCAUCUCUCUGUCCACAGUAGGCAGCCCUGCAUGGCCACCCGCACUGGGUGGUAUGAGUUUAGGCUACCCUCCUCUCCUUGCUGGGUACUGACCUGGUCUGCUCAGUGUCCAGGGCCCGCCUGCCCUUCUAGCAUCUGUGGUUGGAGGGUUGCUGCCCUUAGCAGGUCUGGGGGAGGGCCAGGGGCUAGCUGCUGGUUAAAUUUAGUGAGUGGGGCGGUACCUCUGCCUAAGGUCCACCUACCACCACAGCUGCCACUUGGGCCCUGAUGCCAGAAGUCAGGCAGUGGCUGGCUCUGACUGGGGCCGGGCUCAUAUUAACCUGUCCUCUGAUGUGAGGGCCAAAGGACAGGCCUGUGAAUUGGGAGGCCAUUGUGGCAGCAGAACUGAGAGGUGCAAGUUGAGAGAGGUAUGUGUGUGUGUGUCUGUGUGCAUGUGUGCGCGCGCGUGCAUUCCCCACUUAGAACUCCUGGUGGCUUCUCUCCCAAUCUGCAGAAACAGAGGAGCCAAGGCUCCCCUUCCGUCUAACCAGCUGCUACUGCCCAGCUCAGAGGGCUGGCUUCCCGACUGUCAGUUCACCCUUGGAUCUGGCUGGCCUGGCAGCCUGCAGAGGCAAACCCUGGGAAUGGCCUGUGAGCCUGUGGAGGUGGGGUUCUGGGGGCCUAUUGCAGUUUACUUCCUGCUCUCUCCACCAAUCAGGAAGGAGGGAAGGUGACAGGCUACCCACCCCCAUGGCUGGGGUGUGGCCCCAAGGGCAACCCCAGGCUCCUGUGUGUUGAAAGGGUAUGAGGGCCACCUGGGGCAAGGGGUUCGCCUGCCCUGUCUGCAGCCCUCCUCCUCCCUCCAGCCCCUUGCAAUGCUGAUCAGGGACCAAGGUCCAGCUGCAGUGUUCUUGUAGUCUCUGGGCCAUGGCCAUUGCCCUGGUGGAACUCAGAGUCUCUACUCCUCACUCGUCCCCCCCAGCCCCCCCAGCAUUCCUAAGGUCUGGCUGUCACCUAGGAGACAGGUCUGUCUGCUGGCCUAAGAAAAGAUGGGGGUGCCAAGAGGGCUAGGCCUCAGCAGUGCCCUGCUGAGGUAAAUCCAGUGGCUACUGGCUGCAGUCUCACCUUAGGGGUCACCCCUACCCAACUCUGCCAACCUCUCAGGUCCACUAGGCCCAGGCAUUGAGCCCUUCCCUCCCCCAACACCAAGGCCGUCUCUCCCUACCCCCCAUGUGGGUCUCCUGCGCUCCUGUCAUGGGGACACUGGGCGGGCACUGGGACUCACCCCAAGCCCCGCCUGCUGCCUCACCCACGCCCUCUGCCUCCCUGGGGCAGAACUGUGCCCAGACUAUGGGGUGGAGCCGAGGCGGCUCCAGCUCCUGCAGCCCUUUCUGUCCCUUUCAUUGGAGCCAGUAGGCUGCAGUGAAGCGGGUGUCCUCUUACGUUGAGCUCCCAAGCCUGGACCCUGCUGCCCCCACCACCACCUCUGGGCCUGCCACCUCCUGAGCCACCUUCCUGCCUGAUCUGAGCAGAGUCAUGGCCUUGAGAGUAGGUGACCAGAGCCGGGCUGCACGGAAUGGGCUGAGGGAGAAGGUGCUGACACUGGACUCCAUGAACCCGUGUGUGCGCAAGGUGGAGUACGCCGUGCGUGGCCCCAUAGUGCUGCGGGCCUUGGAGCUGGAGCAGGAGCUGCGCCAGGUACGGUCCCGAGGCCCUGCUACCCUCCUGCUGUUCCUGGGCUACUAGAUCAGCCUCUGGCCCAGUGGCACUUGGGACUAGGGCUGUGGGGGUAAUGGUGCCCAAUCUGGCUGCCUUCUCCCUUUCCCUCCCAGGGUGUGAAGAAACCCUUCACCGAGGUCAUCCGUGCCAACAUUGGAGAUGCACAGGCCAUGGGGCAGAGGCCCAUCACUUUCUUCCGCCAGGUGAGGCUCCUGUACUGCCUGUGUCCCCUGGCUCCAGCCAUCAGUGUGCCCUGACCUCAUCAUUCCGUCCGCCCAGGUCUUGGCCCUCUGUGUCCACCCAGAUCUCUUGCACAGCCCUGACUUCCCUGAGGAUGCCAAACGAAGGGCUCAGCGCAUCUUGCAGGCAUGCGGGGGCCACAGCCUGGGUGAGUGCUGGUGCCAGGCGGGGACCAAGCCCCAGGAAGAAGCAGAGAAGGGUGGAUCUCUUGGGAGGGUUGCGGGAGGACUAGCCACUUUCAUGGGUCUGCUCUGCUCUGCUUGCCGGAGUCCAGGGGCCUAUAGCAUCAGCUCUGGCAUCCAGCUGAUCCGUGAGGAUGUUGCACGGUACAUCGAGAGGCGAGAUGGAGGCAUCCCUGCUGACCCCAACAACAUCUUCCUGUCCACGGGUGCCAGUGAUGCCAUCGUGGUAGGCUGGGCCACGGCAGGACACAAUGGCUCUUCAACUGUGGUUCCACAGGGCAGGGGACGGGUGCAGCCCCUUGGCCCUGCCAACACUGCGCUCCUCCCCCUGCCCACAGACGGUGCUGAAGCUGCUGGUGGCUGGUGAGGGCCGCCGGCGUACAGGCGUGCUCAUCCCUGUCCCGCAGUACCCGCUCUACUCGGCCACUCUGGCCGAACUGGACGCUGUGCAGGUGGACUACUACCUGGAUGAGGAGCGCACUUGGGCACUCGAUGUGGCUGAGCUGCGGCGCAGGCUGUCUCAAGCACGUGACCACUGCUGCCCACGCGCGCUCUGCGUGAUCAACCCCGGCAACCCCACCGGUGCGCCACCUCCCUGCCCCACCUACCCUGACCCCUCCAGCUGCUACAUGCUCCUAGGCCUACCACAAUGGGUCAGUCAACCCCCACUGUCCAGAUGAGCAGGGGUGGGGUGGUGGGUGCCCGCAGUUGACCCUGGCCGCGCUGCUGUCCCCAGGGCAGGUGCAGACCCGGGAGUGCAUCGAGGCUGUGAUCCGCUUCGCAUUCGAAGAGGGACUCUUUCUGAUGGCUGAUGAGGUGCUUACAGGGAUGCGCAAGGGAGGGUGGCUGCGGGUCAGCGGCCGGCCGCGUGACGACAGCGCCCCUGCAGGUGUACCAGGACAACGUGUACGCAGAGGGCUCGCGCUUCUACUCCUUCAAGAAGGUGCUCACCGAGAUGGGCCCACCGUACUCCACGCAGCAGGAGCUUGCCUCCUUCCACUCAGCCUCCAAGGGCUACAUGGGCGAGUGCGUGUGGGCCGGUGGCGGGGGGGGGUUCUUGGACUCCAGCCACUUUCCUGCCCCCUUCUUCCCGGCUGGGCCUCGACCUUGACGCCUGCCCUACCUGGCAGGUGCGGGUUCCGCGGUGGCUACGUGGAGGUGGUGAACAUGGACCCCGAAGUGCAGCGGCAGAUGCUGAAGCUGAUGAGUGUGCGGCUGUGCCCGCCUGUGCCGGGCCAGGCCCUGCUGGACAUGGUGGUCAGCCCGCCAGCACCCUCUGACCCCUCCUUUGCGCAGUUCCAGGAGGUGAGGGAAAUGAGGCCAAGGGCAUCUGGCGAGCCAGUUGGGAAAAGGAUUGAGGGCUAUUGUGUCCCUGCCAUGCCCUGAUUGUCCCCUCCGUGGCUGCAGGAGAGGCAAAUGGUGCUAGCUGAGCUGGCGGCCAAGGCCAAGCUCACGGAGCAGGUCUUCAAUGAAACUCCUGGCAUCAGAUGCAACCCAGUGCAGGGUGCCAUGUACUCCUUCCCUCGAGUGCAGCUGCCCCCCCGGGCGGUCCAGCUUGCUCAGGUCUGGUGGGGCAGGGCAGGGUGGGGCGGAGGCCUGGGCAUAGAGCUCUGACCGCCCUCCACACCGCAGGAGCUCGGCCUGGCCCCAGACAUGUUCUUCUGCCAGCGCCUCCUGGAGGAGACCGGAAUCUGCGUGGUGCCUGGGAGCGGCUUUGGGCAACUGGAGGGCACCUAUCACUUCCGGUGAGACCAGGCCCGCACAGCCUGCCAGUGCCUGCUGUGCCCCCUUUGGCUUAUAGCUUGCCCUUUCCAGGAUGACCAUCCUGCCCCCCAUGGAGAAGCUUCGACUGCUGCUGGAGAAGCUGAGCCGUUUUCAUGCCAAGUUCACCCGGGAGUACUCCUGAGGCCACCACAGGGACCAGGCUGGGCUGCCUGGACUGACUUUGCCCAGGGACCUGGUGGUCUCUGGACCCCUCAGAACUUGCUGCUGCCCCUUGGGGGCUGGGCAUCUCUCUCUGCCAGUUCCUAAUAAAGCUGAGUGUGGUUAUGACUCUGGAGGGGUGAGCCCCACUUCCAUGGGUGAUGACUCC
rnacentral:lncRNA from 1 species